rnacentral:rRNA from 1 species
AUUGAACGCUGGCGGCAUGCUUUACACAUGCAAGUCGAACGGUAACAGGUUAAGCUGGCGAGUGGCGAACGGGUGAGUAAUGCAUCGGAACGUGCCCGGUCGUGGGGGAUAACGCAGCGAAAGCUGCGCUAAUACCGCGUACGAUCUAAGGAUGAAAGCGGGGGACCGUAAGGCCUCGCGCGAUCGGAGCGGCCGAUGUCAGAUUAGGUAGUUGGUGGGGUAAAGGCUCACCAAGCCAACGAUCUGUAGCUGGUCUGAGAGGACGACCAGCCACAAUGGGACUGGGACACGGCCCAGACUCCUACGGGAGGCAGCAGUGGGGAAUUUUGGACAAUGGGCGAAAGCCUGAUCCAGCAAUGCCGCGUGCAGGAAGAAGGCCUUCGGGUUGUAAACUGCUUUUGUACGGAGCGAAAAGGUCUCCUCUAAUACAGGGGGCUCAUGACGGUACCGUAAGAAUAAGCACCGGCUAACUACGUGCCAGCAGCCGCAGUAA